ACUCACUACUGCUAGUAGUGAACACAUGGUAGGGAUGGAAAUCAGGAUCUUGACAGACACGGUCACCCUCCAUUCCCGGGCAUGCUUAUUCACAAUGGCCAGGAUGCAGAGAUGCUGAUGGGGACAAGCAGGGUGGGAGAGAGACAAUCAAAGAGGAGUUCAGUGUUUUUGUCUGAAGCUCCUAGGAUAAGAUCUGCUUUUGUGUAAAAGAGAGCCUUCUCUGCCUGAAACAUCUAACCACCAGAAAGUGAUUCUAUCAAGUUUCCACAUGCAAGUGGCACUGCCUAGAAGUGUGCAAAAAAUAGCCCACUCCACCAAGUCUGGUGUAAUCCACAUACACCAAGAGUUCGGCCCCCUAUUAACAUAGCACGUGUGCUACUAAAGGUGGGAACAAUUGCACUAUGUUCUCUAAAUGUGCACCUGGGUGUGCAGUGCUUGUUAUUAGGGUAACACGUAAUUCACCAGUGUGCUGCAUUUUCCUGACCUCUUCAGCAUUAAGCCACUGGGAAAUGUGUCACUGACUUUUACCAUCCUAACCCCUGGGUUACAGAGUGAGUGAAGGCAGUAGGGAUUCACUGGGGCUGGGCCUUAGCUAUAAGGAAGGUAACAAGAGGAAAUGCCAUGGCUGGGAUCAGGGAGGGAGGAGGGAGCAUAUAGCAGCUGAACUAACAGCACUGUGAGUGUGUAGCCACGUCCCGUGGGAUUCAGCACAGCCAGCAUAGCUGUGCCUCAUCACUUAUAGGAGAAAGAAACUGAGACGAUCUUCAGGGGCACUUGAAUUUCAGGGAUUAUGCUCAGUCUUUGUUGUGUAGAAUCCAAAAUAUGAGUAAAGGAAAUACUGGCACUGCCUUCCCAUUUCCAGAGGAGCUGGUCAGUGGCAGUUGGAUGAUUUCCUCAAAUCCCUGGCUGAAUCAAGCCAGGAGCUCAGUGGCCCCAGGUGCUGUGGAUGGAGCUGCCCAGGAGCACCAGGCAUGGAGGCCACAGUGCCCAGGUGCCCAGCUGCCGGCCCAGAGGGAGAACCUGAGGCCACAUGGUCCUGUCCACUCUAGUUUACCUAUCACAGCUGGCACCUGCUAAAGGCCUCUCUUAUUCACAGUCUGCUCUCAUGAAAUCAUAUGAGCUGCACUUGUCUCUGGAUUUCUUCAUGUAGCUUUUCAAAGCCCACAAAUGCUUCACCUGAAACAGACAUUAACUGAUUUUAUAAAUGAAAUUUGAAAAAAAAAGUCCAGUUCUUCAUCUCAUUUACUUGUGUUUCUUCAGCACAUAUCUUCACGAUUUCUGCAUGAAGGUCUCCAUCGUCUGAUGCGCUCCCAGGCAUUCCUUCUUGUUUUGCUGAUGGCGAUGACAUUUCUACCUGCUGCUUUCCAUGCGGCAGGGUGGCAUGAAAUGCUGAGCUCAUAGCUGGCACUCUGCCCAUCAGCCAAAGGCCAGCAGUGGAAAAGCAAGGACACAGGGAGUGACUCGCCUCGAACCUUCCCAGAGGUGCUCCUCUUUACCGUGGGUCACUUCCAACAGGAGGCCAUCUCCAAGGCCUUGUGGGUCACUCUGCUUGCCUGGAGAUUUUGGGAACCUUCCAGGCAGUGGCCGUCAGCAUUUCCCAGCCUUUGGAGUAUUCCUUGUUUUCCAGAGCUAUGAGCAGCAUGUGUAGUCCCUUCUUCCACAAAACUGAUGUCCUUUUCCCAAUAAACUUGCAGAGAAGAUGGAGGUGUCCUGCACAAGAGGAACAGGCAUAGCACUCCUCUAAGGAGGAUGUGCCCUGACUCUGUGAUGGUCUGUGCCUGCAGAGUAAAGCCAUACGAGUGUCCCCAGGUGCGGAGGAGUCUGUGCUUCCUGUUGCUCAGCUCUGGCGGAUGAUGGUCCUCAUUCUUUCCUAGCUGAUGGCUCCCACCCCAGCUGCACAGAUAAAUUUUUGGAAUGUGGAGAAUCAGUCUACAGAGCAAAAUACACAGUAAAAAGAGCGAGAAGGACCCCUGGCCCACACUCUUCUGGGCUGGCCAUGCUGGGCAGCAUCCACUGGAAGGCUAUGUGCAGCCACAAACACCUCACUGAAGCAGGACCUGUGUACUUGUGAGUACAGUGUAACAUGUUCAUCAGACUAAUGUGAGAAAAAGAAAAUAUCAGCAUUCAAGGACAGCAGUUAUUCAAAUUGAUUCAAGAAAAUUUCUAAAAUACGAAUUAAAUACAAAGCAUUCCAUCCGCACUCCUACACACCUUUAAAGGGCUACGCUCAGGAGGCCUCCUCACCCACACGCCUGGUGUCUGCACCUUUGAGUCGGGACUUUGGGCCUUCACAGAGCAGAAGCCUUCAGAAAUACUAUAGUCCCUGGAGGUUGAUCUGGAGGGAAGGCCCAGCCUUGGCAGUCCUGUCUGCCACAAUCAGUUAGCCAAGAAAAAUCACUAAGAUCAGACACCAAGGAGACCAGCUCAAGGAGAGGAAAAUUGAAUUGCUUUUCAUAGAGUGAGAUGUGUUAGAGAUUUGUAGCCAUCUGCAAUCAGUCACAAGAAGUAUGCAAAAGUACAAUUGAAUAAGUUCCUUGCCUGGAGUAAAGAAUUUCAACUUAAUGCUUUCAGUAAUGGGCUUUUUAUGUAAAAUGGACAAAAAGAACUUUUGGCCCUGUAGGAAGCUGAAGUCUUCAUGCAGUGAAGCUGCUAGAGGGCCUGGCUGUUGGAAGGCUUGCUGACUAGAUGGCUUCUUUGCAGGAACCAUGUCUGUUGAAGAUCACAAGUGUGCAGGUUCUCACAAUCAGACAGAGCACCUUUGCAUCCAUCUCAGGCUGGUUUGCCAUGAUGGAACAGAAAAGAUCAUUCUACUGCCAGCCUAAUCCCGAUACCUCCCAGGCUGUGGAUGUUUUUAUCCACAAAGUAAAAUUAAUGGAAUGAUUUGAAGUGUGCACACACUGAUGAUUUCCUCACAAACACCGGUCUCUUAAUUUUAAUAAGUAUGCUUUUGAUACAAGCUAGCUUGAUGUCAUCUAUUUGUACUCUUGAAAAGAAUGAGUUCUUUGGUGUUAGAAACUUCCAUAAUUCUCAGCUCAAAAAUCAGUUACACAAUAAUGUGAGGCCAGCUGGCGACGGGGGUAUGGUUUUGUGUGUUAAUGACGUUUGGUUUCCGGGUUCUCCAGAACCCCCAGGCCUGGCUUCACAGAAGAACGCCUUUCCACACACCAGAGCGGCUGGGUGUGCGUGAUUCUGAGCAGCCUAUGGCCUAAAUUCCUUGCAAGCACGGUGGGUACGCGGGGGCCACAGUCAUGGCGCUGCUGGGGAGCGGCUGUGCGCAGGAACCGGGCUCCAUGUGCUUGCGCAGCCCACUUGGCACCGCGCAGGACCAGAAGUGGACUGUGGCGCAGGUCUGGGGCGCUCCCCCUACAGGAAACCAUGAAUGUGGUGCGUUGACCUCAGAAGUGUACUUGGGGUGACAUUUCCAUGUUUCUAAAUCUUUUUCUCCUGAGCGGAAGUUAUCAAUGAUACCUGUUCUAGCUAGGAAGAGUCACAUUCUUGUGCAAUUCAUUUUCGGAGCACAUUCUCUUAAAGACUGUUGGGAGCUGACGCGGUCCUUCUGAUCUUAUGUGGCUGGCUGCCCACGGUGUUCUCAGACGUGUGAAUGUGACGGCCAGUGUUGACAAAGCACGGAUAACCAAAUGCGAUUUUCAAAGGCCAGCCAAGAACAAAUGCUCCGAGACCUGGCGAGCUCAUCACACGAGGCCUGACUCAGUGCGUGGGGCCCAGGGCUCGCACGUCUGCUCCGCUCUUUUGGGAAGGCGCCUCUGCAGAGGGUCUGUGUGCUUGGAAAAGUCAGCUCAGACGCUUAGGACGCAACUUCGAGGCGUGUAGUGCUCCUGACAAAACCCGAAGCGCGCCUUCCUCCAGUGUGCGGUUUGCACCUUUCAGAUUCAAGUCUAGUUUUCAAGGCGGGAACCCUACUUUGCAAAUUAGUAGAGAAGAAAACCUCUACUUGGGUGGACGUUUGCUUUGUAAGUGCUGAGAACUCCAGCAUCAAAGGACGAGCACAGGUCUCCCUGUGGUCUGGAAGAGUAAAGAUCACUGAAUGCCUGGUCUGUGCCAGCUGGGACAGAUGCCAAGCUCCCUUCUACUCUGCCAGCACCGUGCAGGUGGUGAGGUGUUGGUGCAACUUUAUGUCUUGUGUCCCGUUGAGCGCCCCACCUGUGCCCUCUUUGGGCUUUUAUGACAGUGCAUUUUAGUCAUUUUCCAGAGGCUUGGGAUAAUUAAUUUUGCUAUUUAACUUGUGCCAGUAUCUUCUUAUCUUUAAAAUUUGCCUCAAGAUAUUUUUUCAACUUGCCAUAAAAUACACAAUGUGAAGAUCCCUAUUGUAUAAACUUGGAGAUUUAUGACCUAGUGGGGAGGUACUAAUUUAGGCAGGAGAACUCCCAAGGUUUCUCAGCGAUUGAGUAACGUAGACAUUAAUCAGCAUCUGGUAAGCAGUGGCAACGCACUGGGCAGGGCUGAGAGAUUUAUGUGCAGUAUCUCAUUUAGUCUCCUGUGCAUCAUGGUGAGUCCAUUGUGGAUAUUACCCUAAUUUUGCAGUUGAGGAAACAGACCUACAAAUGCCUCACUCAGGUAGCAAAGUUCAGAUGUAAUCUGUAACCUCUGGACUAGAACCGUCCUUCCUUCUGUUCAGUUCCAGCCCCCUAGGUGUUCUGAAGCCCAAUCAGGGUCCUUGCCCAGGAACGUGGCCGUGCAGCUCACGUGGAAACCUGAACUGUGGAUUCCCCUUUCUUUGGAGCUGAGUAACAAAGUUGGAUCUGAGAUCCUGGAGUAGGGACAAAGGGCUUGCGGUUUGUGUGCACCUGACAUAUACAGCAGGAAUGAAGGGCGCUGAGGUCAGGUGUGAAGUUGGUCAGGGCUCCAGUGCAAACAGAUGUCUGAAGGACACUCCAUGCUCAUUUCUCCUUUUCUUUUCAUUUUGACAAUUUUGAAGUUAAUUCUAAUUUUUAAAGUAGUUUCAUUUCUCCUGCAUGAUGAAAGCAGAGGAGAAAAUUUUAAUAAGAGCAUGUUUUUAAUUUGGAUAUGUAAAAAUAGAAAUAUAGUAUGCAAUACUCAACUCUAAUAUGCAUGAUUAUAACAGUGACAAAAACCUAUCCUUGUUGCUAUAGUAACUAGGGAUUUCUUUUCAUAUCUUUCAUUUUUUCUAUCGUGGAUUGAGGAACAAUGGCAAUUGUCUAGGAGGUUUCCUUUCACAAAGGUUUUUUCUCAAGCCCUCAGCAUCUCCACCUUGUGUAGCUCCACUACAGAGGUCUGCUGGGUACCAGAAGUGGCUUUGAGGGCUGUCAGCGCCUGAAGCAUGUAUGGAGUUGAAGGCUGUGUGUAAAUCAGGUGCAUCACAGCACUACCUUGAACGUUGUUGCACUGCAAAAAUAUUCCCAGACUCCAAGGGUUGAGGACUGCAUCCCCCAUGUGACAGUGCUGAGAGAUGGAACUCAGGAGUGACGAGGCCAUGAGGAUUUCAUCCUGGGAACAGGUUUCCACUUCCUCUUGUGGUGAGCCUCGUCCUGCUGUCUGUGCCUCAUCCCCUUUUGCAGAUCAUGAGGAGACUACCUGCCACGAGCAUCCUGGACAGAUGUUGGCCCUGAUUGCUAACAUCAGUCUCCAGGACUGUGAGAAAUUGGCCUCCUUCUUCAUGGAUUCCUGCAUCAGGUGUCCCCUUACAGCAGCACAGGAGAGAGGCAAGAAGACAUCAAAAUGGAUUGAAAGGUCUUCAUGCAGUCACCUGCACCCCAUCACAUUCAGGGGACCGGGGUACCAAGGGUAAAUGGGCAGUCACACAAAGAUACACAGUAAAAAGUAAAAAAUGUAGACAAUGCCUUCAAACAUAAAGAAACUGAAAUCCUGUGAAUUGAACUAUACCUGGCACCCUUGUAUUCUCCGUGAGGAAUCAGCCCCAACACUGAGGAAAGACAUGACUGGAGCCAUCUUGUGGUAUGCUCCUGUGGUACCAUUAAUACCCCAGCAGUUUCCCUUCAUCCUAAAUACCACCAAGCAGCUGGGCAGGACUCUGGGGACCUUGGCAAGGAGGUUUGUGGGAGGCUCCAGCCACAAAGCUGGCCCUGUGGCUCUGUGUGCAGGUGCGAUCCUGCCUCUGCUUUCAGUGCUGGUUCUGUGGGAACCAGUUCCCAGCAAGCAUGGCCCCACCGUGUCUCUGCACAGGUCAGUGGUUGGACCAGCAGGUACCUGAGAGCCCUGCAGUGCUGUGGUGGGAACCCAGCCGAAGUCCUCAGGGGCUGAACAGUGAUAGCACUUGCUGACAAGCCUCCUGCUUUCCCUGUUCACCUCCUCUAGGGAACAAGAGGACAACAAGUCCUGUACCACAUGGCAAGUGCUGGACACAGUGGACAGCAGUCCAGUGCCCCUGUUGGCUCCAAGGCAGCAGCCCCUCGCUGGAGCCUGAGGACGGUCCACCUCCUGAGGUCUGUGGGAAGGAGGUGCCGCCAUCUGCACUGCCUGUUGUCUUUCCUCAGCCAGAACUCAGCAGUGGGGCACUCACAGAACUGUAGCUCUUUCCACACAAAUCUGAGCCUUCAUAGGGAGGUCCCUGGGGCUGGAAUGCACCAGGCAGUAUGCACAGGAAAGGGACACAUGCUGGCGAAACAGCAGGUAGAAACCACGUGCAAGCGACCAGAGAUGGACUGUGGCAUAUGCUCUGUGUUGUGCUCCCUCCCUGCAAAGCCUGGCACCUCCUCAGUGCCUCCUCAGAGUGCCCCCAAACAGCGAGAAACAGGGAGGCCCCUCACUGUUCACUUUGGAAAAGUGAGGUUAAAAAAUACUUUUUACUUCUCAUUUUCAAGGAGAAAGGAAGUUCUUUGUCCUUUAAUUUGGAAAGACAAUAUAUAAAUCUUAAGUGAUUUUUCUUUAAUCCCACAGAGAAUUCAUUUCCUAGGUCCUCAUAAAAGUCUCUAUUUCUAGUAAACUUGGGUGCAAAACUCCCCUGGAAACCAUUAACCUUGCCCGGAGCAGGCAUUUUCAAAGAAACAGGCACUCUGGAAGGAGAGCUAGUGUGUAAUGACUGCACCUGGGUGUCAGGUCUUUUUCCCUUUAGUCUUUCAAGUUUGUAGCGAUAACGAGGUCUGCGCCACAGAAAAUGUUCUGGAGAAAAGUAACCUCCAAAGUUAUUACUAUUUCAUAUAUGGAAAGACCAAUAGCUUUCAUGUUUUUCUAAUUUUGUUUCUUUUGUAAGUUUGUUUAUUCCAAAUUAUGGUUCUGUUCUGCAGAUUAACAAAGACAAAAGGGAUUCAGCUACCUGAGUCAACUGGAGACUCUUUUGUACAAUAGGUUUAAAUAUAAAACACAUGGCUGUUUUGUCAUGUAAAUUUUUUGUAAAUAUUUUAAAAGUUCUUGGCAAUUAGAGAACAAAACUGAGAAUACCAAAAGAAAUCAUGUGUCUGGUCUCUGUCUAUCAUGGGGCUAGAGAACGAGAACCUGCAGCUAGCAUUCAUCUGCACAGGAACUGAAGUUUGCAGAAGCAGCCUGCGGCCAGGGCGGAGAUGGCCUCUUCACAGCUCAGGAAGGGCGAGUGUUCCUAGGAGCCUGAAAGAUGUUAAAUAGUCCCUAGAUGUCAGUGUUUCUCAGCCACAGCCCUCCAUCAGGCCACCCAAAGAGCAUGCCUUUGUGUGGGUGGCAGUUUACCUUCUGCAAGUGCAAACUUUCUUGGAAAUGUAAGCUA